GCCGCAUGCUGUGGCGCUAGCGUAUGGAAGUCGGCAGGUGUCGGUAAGGACGGAAUCUAUACGUUACUCGGGUGGCCCACGUGACAAAAGUGACAUUUUAGUAGCAUUUCCAACAAGAAAAAGUGCAACAAAUUCACAAACUUUAGUGCAUUGCUACAGUGUUGUGCUCUUAAAUUAAAACACUCAGUUUGGCAAGUGGCUCAUCUUCGAAAAACGAUACAAUCACAGCCAAAUCAUCGGCAUAUCCCACGAGCUCGACAUCUUCCGCAACCGACAGUCUCAGGACACUGUCAUACAUUAUAUUCCAUAGCAGUGGUGCGAGCACCGACCCCUGUGGAACCCCGCUGUUUACUUCUAGUAGUUUACCAUGUUCGGUUUAGGAAGAAGAAUCAGUCGUGCUGUUUUCCAGCAAUCCGGAAAGGAUUUUCUCCUUAGACAGGAAUACCAUCUGGUCCAGUGGCUUUACCAGGUUUCAGGCGUUUGGCGGCAAUUAGUAGUUCUUCCAGUGUGAAAUUGUUUAUGGGGUUCUUUAUUGGUUCGGGCCAUACUACUUCAGGAUGGCGCGGAAACAGAUGCACUACAACGUUUUCCAGUUCAUCCUCACCGUUUCCCCAGACGUCGUCAUCAAUUGAGGCACAUAAUUCCUGCCACUUUGAAUGUUUUGAGAUUUUUAUUUCCUUUCGUAGUUUAUCCCUUGCUAUUUUUAGUGUGUUUACCUUAGUUUCUAGGUUUUGUGACAAUGUUGUUUUAGGUCGAGCUCUUGUUACAGCUCGUCUGGCUUUGAUAGAUUCUUUCCGGAGUUGGGCAAUACGAUCGUUCCACCAGUAGCAGGGUCUUCGUUUUGGUGAAAAAGAUUUCUUUAACAUCGCAGCGUUGCAUGAUUUUUCAAGACUGUCUUUUAGUUGCUCGGGCGAGUUUAUACUGCCACACUUAUUAAACCUUUUUAGGAGUUUCGCCUUAUUCAAUGAUUUUAGGUUCCACGCUGGGGGUUGGUUUGAAUUAUACUGAUGGCUAUCUGGUAAAUUUGUUUCCCAUUUGAAAGAAAUGAUUUUGUGGUCGCUGAGGGAUUCUGUAUCCAUCGUUGUCCAUCCUUGUAUGUUAUUUGCGACGUUUUGAGAUACUAGUGUUAAGUCUAUGAUUGAUUUUGAUGUACCUCUUUCAAAUGUAUAGUAGUUUGGUUUGUUUUUGGUAAUAAAGUUUAGUUCUGCAA